AACCACGGAAGCUGAAGGAGAUGACAGACCAUAUGGGAGGAAAGAGUAGGUAUGCCAGAAAAAUUGCUCUAGAAGUUCCUCCAAUCACAACAGGAUCUGCUGAGAGAAUGGUUUCAAAAGUUGAAGUAGCUAUGGGUUUCAUCUCUUCGAUUACCUUCGUGGUCUGCUGUGCAGCAUCAGCAGCUGUCUGUGUACAGUUUUGCUAAAUUCUCAUAUUUACUCAUGAUGAAAUCUUAAAAACUACAAAACUGAAAUUAACAUGAGAUAAUUUACUAAAUUCUUAAAUAGAGUUGUUUGAAUAACAUGUUGAAGAAAAAAAAAACUAUUAACAUGGUCCAAAGCAAAAUAAACAGUCAUAUGUAAAACACAAGAGGCUCUUAUUAGUUUCUAUACAAUCCAUCAAAUUCACUUGAUUUUGAAUUAUUCACAGGUCCAAGCCAAUGAUACCAAACAAUCAGAAUUGCAACAGUUCUCCAAUGUGAGCACGUUAAUUCUUUGUAGAAUCCAUAAUCAAUUAUUCUAGUCAUUAUAGUUCUAAUUUUUGAGAUAAAAAUUGCAUCUUGAUCAACUAAAAAUGACAAUGCACAGAACAAUGAUUUCAAAACCUAAGAAAUGUUCCUCUACUGCCUGGAUAACAAUUUCAAGCAGGCAAUGAAAUGGGUUUCAAUUUCCGUGAAUGCUGCUAAGCACCAAUCCUCCAAAGCAAUACAAGAAAAUCUAGACUCCAAAAUUGAUGGGAAAAGAAAAUGACGAUGAAAAAUUGAAAAGUGAAACCUUAGCAGCAGAAAGAACAGGCUGUGUGUCGAUGCCAGAGCUUUGAACUGCUUCUAGGGCUUUCUAUGAGGCCUCAGAAAUUGCAGGAGAAGCGAUCUUCAAUGCUUGAUCUCCAGCUUGCUUUACAAUUGGCAAU
rnacentral:misc_RNA from 1 species